rnacentral:rRNA from 1 species
GACGAACGCUGGCGGCGUGCCUAAUACAUGCAAGUUGAGCGCUGAAGGUUGGUACUUGUACCAACUGGAUGAGCAGCGAACGGGUGAGUAACGCGUGGGGAAUCUGCCUUUGAGCGGGGGACAACAUUUGGAAACGAAUGCUAAUACCGCAUAAAAACUUUAAACACAAGUUUUAAGUUUGAAAGAUGCAAUUGCAUCACUCAAAGAUGAUCCCGCGUUGUAUUAGCUAGUUGGUGAGGUAAAGGCUCACCAAGGCGAUGAUACAUAGCCGACCUGAGAGGGGGGUCGGCCAAGAUGGGAAUGGGACACGGCCCAAACUCCUACGGGAGGCAGCAGUAGGGAAUCUUCGGCAAUGGACGGAAGUCUGACCGAGCAACGCCGCGUGAGUGAAGAAGGUUUUCGGAUCGUAAAACUCUGUUGGUAGAGAAGAACGUUGGUGAGAGUGGAAAGCUCAUCAAGUGACGGUAACUACCCAGAAAGGGACGGCUAACUACGUG